rnacentral:lncRNA from 1 species
UUACUCUUCUACUUCGUUGCACUUGCCGCCUUCAGAUCUCACUUUGCAAUCAUUCUUGAAGGGAUUGACAACCCCUUUAUAGCUUGGGUGCAAGCUCUUUUGUGUUUGCGCAGGUACUCUGGACUUGACGAGAUUCUCCUACUGGAUUGAUACCUUGGUUCUCAAACUGAGGGAAAUACUUACUGCUCCUGUGCUGCAUCACCCUUUCCUCUUCAAGGGAAAAACCAAC